UAAGUCUCUAGAGUAUUGGAUCUGAGACCUACAAUAAAAUACUUCAGCAACUGUACUUUGGUUGAUGCAGUUUCUCCUAAUAAACAAGACAGCUAAAAACUUGGAGAGUUAGUUCCAUGCUCACUUUGGUUACUGACUGGCAAUGCACCCACAAGCAGAAUGCUAGAUGUAUGCACCACUGAGGAAUUAGAGAAAGAGCACAUCUUGGGACACAGGAACAGCCAUGACUGGUAUACGACCUCGGCUCUUUGAGAAAGACGGGAGUGGUUCCAGAGCGCUCACAAGUUAGGCGACAAUCGUCUUCCAGAAGUUUCCAGUUUUAAGUCUCGGGGAUUGAAGCUUCUCAACAACAUCUUUUAAAAGAGCAGGAGGAAAACAGGAAGGCAACAGGCAAUAAUGAAAAAAGCCCUGUGGUGCUGGAGGGAUGGAACAUGUCUUUGGUGCAGACUGGUGCCUGCGCAGGCAACUGCUGCGUUCGCCUUGGUGGGAGAAGAUGUGCAUUUAAGUGCCUUCAGACUCAGAAGGAAUCCUCGGUUUGGUGUCUCCAGUUCCCAGGGAUGUUUCGCCACUAGGCCAGUAUAGAGAAGUGCUGACACCAUCAUCAUCUCUGCUUGGAAAGAGAAAAGGGAGCCCAUCACUCCUUUGCCAAAGGGGAAUUUAGUUGCCCAAGUGCAAGAGUGGGAUUGGGACAGGAAAUGCCAGCACCACGUGCAUAUAAA